ACGCUCGACACCUACUGGAGGCAGCAGUGGGGAAUAUUGCACAAUGGAGGAAACUCUGAUGCAGCGAUGCCGCGUGAGGGAAGAAGGUUUUUCGGAUUGUAAACCUCUGUCUUUGGGGACGAUAAUGACGGUACCCAAGGAGGAAGCUCCGGCUAACUACGUGCCAGCAGCCGCGGUAAUCUGAGCGGGCUGGCGAAGGC
rnacentral:rRNA from 1 species